GUUACUAAAAGUAGACACAAGAGGGAACAAAUUCGGCGUAAAGUGACACUAAAAACCGGAAACUUUAAAGAAAUUUACUUUAAACUCCCUUUCACGCUUGAGUUAGGAUGUAAUCGUCGUUCGUGUCACGCAAACUUCAUUUCCCGUGGGAGGAAACGGCGGCGGACUCGAUGGGCGCGGUCCAGCCUUUGAAACAUUCUUAAUAUAGCUACAUAUAUAUAAAGUAUAUGCUACGUAAUUAAGUCCGUAAAUCCGUCAGCAGAAAGUCCUUCAUCAAGAUAUAUGUUAUAUUCGCUCAUUGUUACGGAAUUUAUGCGUUGUCUUUGUACCGUAAAUCCAACAGUUUACGCCGCUACGGGUCACGUGCAAAAAAAAUUAAUUUUUAACUAAUUGAUUAUACGAGCUUGCAAUUUCAACUCUUCUAAUUUUAAUUACAAUUAUAUUCUGGAAUGUGGACGAAAAAGCUUUCAUCAGCGGAGAAGAAUUUAUUUGAUGUUAUACGUUGUUUCGGCGUAUAUUUUAUGUCGAUGUACAUACACAACAACAAAAUUUCUGGAUAAAAAAUAUAUAAAUCAUAAUAUAUUAUUAAA